rnacentral:rRNA from 1 species
GACAGAGGUGGCAAGCGUUGUCCGGAAUGACUGGGCGUAAAGGGUGCGUAGGCGGUUCGUUAAGUCUGGUGUGAAAUCCCCCGGCUCAACUGGGGAACUGCACAGGAAACUAGCGGGCUUGAGUUCGGGAGAGGGAAGCGGAAUUCCGGGUGUAGCGGUGAAAUGCGUAGAUAUCCGGAGGAACACCGGUGGCGAAGGCGGCUUCCUGGACCGGCACUGACGCUGAGGCGCGAAAGCUAGGGGAGCAAACGGG